UACGAAGGGGGCUAGCGUUGCUCGGAUUGACUGGGCGUAAAGGGUGCGUAGGCGGUUCGUACAGUCAGACGUGAAAUUCCUGGGCUCAACCUGGGGGCUGCGUUUGAUACGUGCGGACUUGAGUGCGGAAGAGGGUCGUGGAAUUCCCAGUGUAGAGGUGAAAUUCGUAGAUAUUGGGAAGAACACCGGUGGCGAAGGCGGCGACCUGGUCCGAUACUGACGCUGAGGCGCGAAAGCGUGGGGAGCAAACAGG
rnacentral:rRNA from 1 species